AUCCAGCUGACGAGUUCGAAAUAGGACAGGUGAAAUGAGCAUCCUGGAU
rnacentral:hammerhead_ribozyme from 1 species